rnacentral:tRNA from 1 species
GCCCCUAUGGCUUAGUGGUACAGCAUCGCACUUGUAAUGCGAAGAUCCUUGGGGCA